rnacentral:rRNA from 1 species
ACGCUAUCACUCCUACGGGAGGCAGCAGCUGGGGAAUAUUCACAAUGGGGGAAACCCGAUGCAGUCAGCCGCGUGUGUGAAGAAGGCCUUCGGGUUGUAAAGCACUUUCAGUAGGGAGGAAGGUAGUGUAGUUAAUAGCGGCCUCAUUUGACGUUAGCUGGAGAAUAAGCACCGGCUAACUACGUGCCAGCAGCCGCGGUAAUACGUAGGGUGCAAGCGUUGUCCGGAUUUAUUGGGUUUAAAGGGUGCGUAGGCGGGGCUAUUAAAGUCAGUGGUGAAAUCCAGCAGCUUAACUGUUGAUGUGCCAUUGAUACUGGUAGUCUUGAGUACAGAUGAGGUAGGCGGAAUUGACAGUGUAGCGGUGAAAUGCAUAGAUAUUGUCAAGAACUCCGAUAGCGAAGGCAGCUUACUGGGCUGUAACUGACGCUGAUGCACGAAAGUGUGGGGAUCAAACAGGAUUAGAUACCCUGGUAG